GACCCAAUUUCUCUGAUUCAAGACUCUAUACUCUGCUUGUAGGGGCAUCAGAAACUCAGCAACUACACAAGGAAUCAUGAGGAGACACGGGGGAGCUCUGCUGGGACUCCUGUGGCUCCAGGUUUGCUUGGUGAGAGGGGUGACGGUGGAGCAGAGCCCUUCAGCCCUGAGCUUCCAGGAGGGAGCCGACUCUACUCUGAAGUGCAAUUUUUCCCAAACUGAGCGCAGUGUGCAGUGGUUCCGACAGCACCCCGGGGGCGGUAGUCUCACCAGGCUGUUUUAUGUAUUUUCCGGGAUGCAGCAGAGUGGGAGGUUAAACUGCACAGUGAAUAUUAAGGAACGGUCCAGCACCCUCCACAUUGGGGCCUCCCGACUGGAAGACUCAGCCACCUACCUGUGUGCGGCACAGGCACCGUGCUCCCCCGUGAUCUGUAGCCUGCACCCAAACUGCAGCUGUGCCUGCAGCCCCACCAGGAAGCCUUGCACCGCGGUCUCACACAGCAUGCUUGGACCAUCUGGGGCUCUUCUGGGCUCCAAAGCGGGUGACACUAAACUUUGA